CAACCUCAACUCAUAUGGGACUACCCCCUGAAUUUAAGCAUAUUAAUUAGGGGAGGAAAAGAAACUAACAAGGAUUUUCUUAGUAGCGGCGAGCGAAAAGAAAUCAGUUCAGCACUAAGUCACUUUGUCUAUAUGGCAAAUGUGAGAUGCAGUGUAUGGAGCGUCAAUAUUCUAGUAUGAGAAAUUAACGAUUUAAGUCCUUCUUAAAUGAGGCCAUUUACCCAUAGAGGGUGCCAGGCCCGUAUAACGUUAAUGAUUACUAGAUGAUGUUUCCAAAGAGUCGUGUUGCUUGAUAGUGCAGCACUAAGUGGGUGGUAAACUCCAUCUAAAACUAAAUAUAACCAUGAGACCGAUAGUAAACAAGUACCGUGAGGGAAAGUUGAAAAGAACUCUGAAUAGAGAGUUAAAUAGUACGUGAAACUGCUUAGAGGUUAAGCCCGAUGAACCUGAAUAUCCGUUAUGGAAAAUUCAUCAUUAAAGUUAUAAUAUUUAAACAAUAUUAUACAAAUAAUGUGCAUUUUUUCCAUAUAAGGACAUUGUAAUCUAUUAACAUAUUAAAUUUAUCAUAAAAUAUGGCUUAUAGUUUAUUCAAAUUAUUAUGCUUGCAUUUUAACAUAGAAUAAAUGUCAUUAAUUUGAUAAAGUGUUGAUAGACUAAUAAGAAUACAGUGCGUUAAUUUUUCGGAAUUAUAUAAUGGCAUAAUUAUCAUUGAUUUUUGUGUUUAUUAUAAGCACUUGUAUGAUUAACAAUGCGAAAG
rnacentral:ncRNA from 1 species